UACGUAGGGGGCAAGCGUUGUCCGGAAUUAUUGGGCGUAAAGAGCGUGUAGGCGGCCAGAUAAGUCCGCUGUGAAAUCUCGAGGCUCAACUUCGAGCUGUCGGUGGAAACUAUCUGGCUAGAGUCCGGAAGAGGAGAAUGGAAUUCCUGGUGUAGCGGUGGAAUGCGCAGAUAUCAGGAAGAACACCCGUGGCGAAGGCGGUUCUCUGGGACGGUACUGACGCUGAGACGCGAAAGCGUGGGGAGCAAACAGG
rnacentral:rRNA from 1 species